GACCGCGGUUACACGACAGACCCAAAAUAAUACUAACGGCGUAAAGCACGACUAAAAAUAAGUUAAAACAUUAGGAACAAAGCAAAACUGGGCCGUAAAAAGCCAUAAGUCACACUAACUACCUAACAACAGACAACUUCCACUCGUGAAAGUUAAGAUA
rnacentral:rRNA from 1 species